rnacentral:tRNA from 1 species
GGGGGAAUGGCGCAAUGGUUACGUGCCACGGCUGUUACCAAUGUAACGUAGGUUCGAAUCCUGCUCCCUCUA